rnacentral:rRNA from 1 species
GUCCUUAGCAUUUACGCUGCCCCUUGUCAAUCUUCCCUAACUCAGAAGCUAAAUGGAAACAAGGUCUGGUUAGUUCUUGGAUGGGGGACAACCUGGGAAUACCAGGUGCUCCAGACU